GCUGAGGCCGACAGGCGUAGGCGAUGGAUAACAGGUUGAUAUUCCUGUACCACCUAUAAUCGUUUUAAUCGAUGGGGGGACGCAGUAGGAUAGGCGAAGCGUGCGAUUGGAUUGCACGUCUAAGCAGUAAGGCUGAGUAUUAGGCAAAUCCGGUACUCGUUAAGGCUGAGCUGUGAUGGGGAGAAGACAUUGUGUCUUCGAGUCGUUGAUUUCACACUGCCGAGAAAAGCCUCUAGAUAGAAAAUAGGUGCCCGUACCGCAAACCGACACAGGUAGUCAAGAUGAGAAUUCUAAGGUGAGCGAGCGAACUCUCGUUAAGGAACUCGGCAAAAUGACCCCGUAACUUCGGGAGAAGGGGUGCUCUUUAGGGUUAACGCCCAGAAGAGCCGCAGUGAAUAGGCCCAAGCGACUGUUUAUCAAAAACACAGGUCUCUGCUAAACCGUAAGGUGAUGUAUAGGGGCUGACGCCUGCCCGGUGCUGGAAGGUUAAGAGGAGUGGUUAGCUUCUGCGAAGCUACGAAUCGAAGCCCCAGUAAACGGCGGCCGUAACUAUAACGGUCCUAAGGUAGCGAAAUUCCUUGUCGGGUAAGUUCCGACCCGCACGAAAGGCGUAACGAUUUGGGCACUGUCUCAACGAGAGACUCGGUGAAAUCAUAGUACCUGUGAAGAUGCAGGUUACCCGCGACAGGACGGAAAGACCCCGUGGAGCUUUACUGUAGCCUGAUAUUGAAAUUCGGCACAGCUUGUACAGGAUAGGUAGGAGCCUUUGAAACGUGAGCGCUAGCUUACGUGGAGGCGCUGGUGGGAUACUACCCUAGCUGUGUUGGCUUUCUAACCCGCACCACUUAUCGUGGUGGGAGACAGUGUCAGGCGGGCAGUUUGACUGGGGCGGUCGCCUCCUAAAAGGUAACGGAGGCGCUCAAAGGUUCCCUCAGAAUGGUUGGAAAUCAUUCAUAGAGUGUAAAGGCAUAAGGGAGCUUGACUGCGAGACCUACAAGUCGAGCAGGGUCGAAAGACGGACUUAGUGAUCCGGUGGUUCCGCAUGGAAGGGCCAUCGCUCAACGGAUAAAAGCUACCCCGGGGAUAACAGGCUUAUCUCCCCCAAGAGUUCACAUCGACGGGGAGGUUUGGCACCUCGAUGUCGGCUCAUCGCAUCCUGGGGCUGUAGUCGGUCCCAAGGGUUGGGCUGUUCGCCCAUUAAAGCGGUACGCGAGCUGGGUUCAGAACGUCGUGAGACAGUUCGGUCCCUAUCCGUCGUGGGCGUAGGAAAUUUGAGAGGAGCUGUCCUUAGUACGAGAGGACCGGGAUGGACAUACCUCUGGUGUACCAGUUGUCGUGCCAACGGCAUAGCUGGGUAGCUAUGUGUGGACGGGAUAAGUGCUGAAAGCAUCUAAGCAUGAAGCCCCCCUCAAGAUGAGAUUUCCCAACUUCGGUUAUAAGAUCCCUCAAAGAUGAUGAGGUUAAUAGGUUCGAGGUGGAAGCAUGGUGACAUGUGGAGCUGACGAAUACUAA
rnacentral:rRNA from 1 species